ACACAUGCAAGUCGAGGGGCAGCAUGCUUUUAGCUUGCUAAGGCCGAUGGCGACCGGCGCACGGGUGAGUAACACGUAUCCAACCUGCCGUCUACUCUUGGACAGCCUUCUGAAAGGAAGAUUAAUACAAGAUGGCAUCAUGAGUCCGCAUGUUCACAUGAUUAAAGGUAUUCCGGUAGACGAUGGGGAUGCGUUCCAUUAGAUAGUAGGCGGGGUAACGGCCCACCUAGUCUUCGAUGGAUAGGGGUUCUGAGAGGAAGGUCCCCCACAUUGGAACUGAGACACGGUCCAAACUCCUACGGGAGGCAGCAGUGAGGAAUAUUGGUCAAUGGGCGAGAGCCUGAACCAGCCAAGUAGCGUGAAGGAUGACUGCCCUAUGGGUUGUAAACUUCUUUUAUAAAGGAAUAAAGUCGGGUAUGGAUACCCGUUUGCAUGUACUUUAUGAAUAAGGAUCGGCUAACUCCGUGCCAGCAGCCGCGGUAAUACGGAGGAUCCGAGCGUUAUCCGGAUUUAUUGGGUUUAAAGGGAGCGUAGAUGGAUGUUUAAGUCAGUUGUGAAAGUUUGCGGCCCAACCGUAAAAUUGCAGUUGAUACUGGAUAUCUUGAGUGCAGUUGAGGCAGGCGGAAUUCGUGGUGUAGCGGUGAAAUGCUUAGAUAUCACGAAGAACUCCGAUUGCGAAGGCAGCCUGCUAAGCUGCAACUGACAUUGAGGCUCGAAAGUGUGGGUAUCAAACAGGAUUAGAUACCCUGGUAGUCUACACGGUAAACGAUGAAUACUCGCUGUUUGCGAUAUACAGCAAGCGGCCAAGCGAAAGCGUUAAGUAUUCCACCUGGGGAGUACGCCGGCAACGGUGAAACUCAAAGGAAUUGACGGGGGCCCGCACAAGCGGAGGAACAUGUGGUUUAAUUCGAUGAUACGCGAGGAACCUUACCCGGGCUUAAAUUGCAGAUGAAUUACGGUGAAAGCCGUAAGCCGCAAGGCAUCUGUGAAGGUGCUGCAUGGUUGUCGUCAGCUCGUGCCGUGAGGUGUCGGCUUAAGUGCCAUAACGAGCGCAACCCUUGUUGUCAGUUACUAACAGGUUCCGCUGAGGACUCUGACAAGACUGCCAUCGUAAGAUGUGAGGAAGGUGGGGAUGACGUCAAAUCAGCACGGCCCUUACGUCCGGGGCUACACACGUGCUACAAUGGGGGGUACAGAGGGCCGCUACCACGCGAGUGGAUGCCAAUCCCCAAAACCUCUCUCAGUUCGGACUGGAGUCUGCAACCCGACUCCACGAAGCUGGAUUCGCUAGUAAUCGCGCAUCAGCCACGGCGCGGUGAAUACGUUCCCGGGCCUUGUACACACCGCCCGUCAAGCCAUGGGAGCCGGGGGUACCUGAAGUGCGUAACCGCGAGGAGCGCCCUAGGGUAAAACUGGUGACUGGGGCUAAGUCG
rnacentral:rRNA from 1 species